CGGCCGCGUCGACGGGGUGGAUGAGUGGCGAACGGGUGAGUAUCACGUGAGUAACCUGCCCUUAACUCUGGGAUAAGCCCGGGAAACUGGGUCUAAUACUGGAUAGGACUGAUCAUCGCAUGGUGGUUGGUUGAAAGUUUUUGACGGUUUUGGAUGAGCUCGCGUCCAAUUAGCUAGUUGGCGGAGUAAAAGCCCACCAAGGCGACGAUCGGUAGCUGGUCUGAGAGGACGAUCAGCCACACGUGGGACUGAGACACCGGCCCAGACUCCGUACGGGAGGCAGCAGGUGGGGUAACUUUUCCCGACAAGUGGGGACGAAACGCCUGGACGGAGACAACGACCGCGGUGGGGGAAGAAGGCUCUUGGGUUGUAAACCCCUUUUCUCUGGGAAGAAAGUUGUGAAAGCAAC
rnacentral:rRNA from 1 species